AAGUGCAGUGGUUCUUGGCGAUGAUAAAUUGCCCACGAUGUGGAGAUGGGGAAGAGAAAUGGAAGAGAAGGUGCCCAAAUGAGAAGGACAUGGACUGAGGACCACCAGAGAAGUUUGCACUGUGAAGUGAUGGAUGCAUACAGACCACUCACUCUAGCGAUUGUCUUUUUGAAGGACAAUGGAGGGGAUUUUUAGGUCCUUGGGAGCUGCUGCCCUGAAUUUGAGAAAGACCCCAUUCACUUACUGAGAUCGUCUCUCACUUUUCUUCCCAUAUACCCAAUUGUGUUGACAGUUGAAGAAUUACUCACCAGCAACAAGGAGUUUACAAUUUUCUUGAAGUUUAAUAAUAAUAUUCCCUUUUAUUACUUGCACCUGGGGUGGACAUCUCCCAAUGAUCUGGCCUUGGUAUGCCACUGCUUGGAGGCACAAAAGUCUUUCUUGUUAAAAAUACCCGUGAGUGUUAGUGAGGAUCUGAGCAAUGCAAAGGCUCAUGCCUGCAAGCUGAUGGGAAGACAGCUGGUGAACUCCUUCACAGAAUCUGGCAUUUCCUGGCAACAUUGCGCAGCUCCCUCUCUGGCCACAGCCUUUGAACUUGAGGCCAGGCAUGUCCAGAAGGUGCCAGCGUGUGCAUAUCUUAUGACCGACCCAUCCUUGUGGUGA
rnacentral:lncRNA from 1 species